CCCCUGGAGGACUAGUGGUUAGGCCACAGCAUUCUCACCGCUGUGGCAUGGGUUUGAUUCCUGGCCAAGGAA